UCGUAACAAAAUGUGCUAGGCCAUGCUCCGGCUGUCGCUGACUCGAAAGGUCGUGCACGCGGGAGCGUGUCCUCUCACAUAACACAAUCCAUCUCACCCUUUGUGCACCACCGCGUGGGCCCCCUUUGGGGGGCUCGCGUUUUCACACAAAACACCCCCCUUUAAAAGUGUAGAAUGACCUCUUUUAUGAAAUCAAUA
rnacentral:misc_RNA from 1 species